AGCGAACGCUGGCGGCAGGCCUAACACAUGCAAGUCGAACGGACCCUUCGGGGUUAGUGGCGGACGGGUGAGUAACACGUGGGAACGUGCCUUUAGGUUCGGAAUAGCUCCUGGAAACGGGUGGUAAUGCCGAAUGUGCCCUUCGGGGGAAAGAUUUAUCGCCUUUAGAGCGGCCCGCGUCUGAUUAGCUAGUUGGUGAGGUAAUGGCUCACCAAGGCGACGCUCAGUAGCUGGUCUGAGAGGAUGACCAGUCACAUUGGGACUGAGACACGGCCCAAACUCCUACGGGAGGCAGCAGUGGGGAAUCUUGCGCAAUGGGCGAAAGCCUGACGCAGCCAUGCCGCGUGGAUGAUGAAGGUCUUAGGAUUGUAAAAUCCUUUCACCGGUGAAGAUAAUGACUGUAGCCGGAGAAGAAGCCCCGGCUAACUUCGUGCCAGCCGCCGCAGUAAUAC
rnacentral:rRNA from 1 species